AAUAGGAAGAAAAGAAAAAAAGAAAAGGAAAAUGAAAGGGUAUUAUAGGUAUUUCAUCUUAUCUAGCCAUUUCAAACUACAUGAAGAGCCGUUUUGCCAAAUCUUUUUUAAAAGGAGGAGCUGGAGCCGGAGAAGCCACUCCACUAGUGGAGCGUUUUCAUAUGAGGGCCCUUAUCUCCUCUCCUCGGCCAUCACCCUGCCUCUGCUUGGAUCUCACCCCAGGGCCCAGGCUGCGGGCGGGGAGGUGAGCUGGUCAGCGGCGAGCGUCGAGGCUUCCAUAUUCUCAUCCGAUUAUCUCCACCCUUUCCGUCUUUGUCUGAUCAUAUGGUUCCUCAUCCCUCAGCACCGACGCCCGCCGCCUGUUCGACGGAAUGGCUCCGAGGAGAAGGGGGAAAAGGGUCAAGAAGGCGCCUACGGAGAGCGCCGGCAGCAGCAUAGACGACUUGCCGACGGUGUCCUCCAGGACAUCCUCCGUUUCCUGCCGGCGAGGGACGCCGUGCGGACGUGCGUGCUCGCCCGGCGCUGGCGCGACCUCUGGAUGUUCGCGACAGGCCUGCUCAUCAUCGGCUACGACGACGACGACGACGACAUGGAGGAGCUUCGGGAGUCUGUCGACCAUCUUCUUCUCACCCGCGGAAUCGCGCCUCUAGAAACAUGCGAGCUCAGGUUCGACGGUAUCGCUGAUGUUUUCUCUGAUGGAGACGUCCUCCGUGUGAACCUCUGGUUCCGGCAUGCCAUACGGUGCCAGGUUCGGGUGCUCCGGUUGCUUUUGGCAGGGCAUAGCCGACACUUUGAUCUACAUGACCUGCUCCGGUUGCUCUUGAUUUGGACGCAAUAAAAUGCAUUCUCAAGAACUCUCCACUUCUAGAGAAGCUCACUCUUGAAUUUUCUUCUAAGGGAUCUGGCCAUAAAUUUGAAAUGAAAGGAAACAAUAUUCCGGUACAUGAAACAACUGCAAUAUCUGAACACCUUAAGAUAGUAGAGGUGAAAUGUGACGUGGUUGAUGAGAAAGUUUACAAAGUUUUGAAGCUCCUGUCUACAUUCAACAUUUGUUUCAGUUUCGGGUAGGGCAGGAAAGCAAGGGGUGCCGCCGGAUGUACUAUCUCUCGAGUCUCGAUUCGGAAAAAAACAUGUCACGAAGUGUGUUUGGCCAAGUUCUGGGUACCUUUAUUGAGAUCCAGCCGAAGGUACUGUGUAGAAUUGGCAAUGUAACUUGUUUAGACCUUGGGAUCACCUAGUCGGACUUAGCGCUUUUAGAGUCGGACAUAGCUUAUCAUGUCGCGAGAUUUCUGUUGCGCUUUUGGUUCUUGCUGAUCCACUCAGCGAUCUGGACUGAGAGCACUUUUCAUCAGACGUUCCAUCAGAAGAGAGCUGAAUGCUGAUCUACUCA